rnacentral:piRNA from 1 species
AUAGUGUGGGCUGGUGGAAGGUG